rnacentral:rRNA from 1 species
UACGUAGGGUGCAAGCGUUGUCCGGAAUUAUUGGGCGUAAAGAGCUCGUAGGCGGUUUGUCGCGUCUGCUGUGAAAACCCGAGGCUCAACCUCGGGCCUGCAGUGGGUACGGGCAGACUAGAGUGCGGUAGGGGAGAUUGGAAUUCCUGGUGUAGCGGUGGAAUGCGCAGAUAUCAGGAGGAACACCGGUGGCGAAGGCGGGUCUCUGGGCCGAUACUGACGCUGAGGAGCGAAGGCGUGGGGAGCGAACGGG